UGGCCAAUUGAUUAUGAUGUUACAUGCUGUUUAUUACACAUUAUAAUGAAGUAUUCCAGAUUGCCGCGAUGUGAUCUUUUAACUAGCUACCACUCCCCAUGCCUUUACCUAUUGAAAAUACUAAAGCUUAAUACUACAUAAAAAGCAUUGUUAGAUGAUAGAUGAAUUGAAGGAUUUACAUUUUUUUAUUAUUAUUAUUGAUAUAUUCAUAUCAUCUUGCAGGAAUUGUUGUUGAACCAUUUAUUACAACGGCUUUACACACGUCUGUCACUUUGGCUGGAACGCAUUCCUCUUGACAUGGACUUCUUAGAAUUUACGUGUUCUUAGGAGCUGGUCAUUUUUAGUGUCAUCUCAAAUCAGAUACCCAUUCCAGAUGAACUGUAUGAUGCACUUUAUCAAGUACACCAGAUAGCCAUAAGAAAUACUAAAAUGGAUCCACACAUCAUGGCUUCCCAAGAGAGAGGAAAAAAUGGCCGUCCACGGAUUCUGAUUUCUGAAGACUCUGUAUCCCAAAUGCUUACAUUAGGAUUGCCUGUGACAUGUAUUGCAAGGUUGCUAGGGGUGUCCAAGUUUACAAUUCAUAGACGCAUGGUGGAAUGGGGAUUAUCUGUGAUGGCAACCUACAGCAACAUUGCAGAUGCCGAGCUAGACUCACUUGUGGCAACAAUCCACACAAGCAAUCCGAAUGCAGGUUACAGAAUGAUGAUGGGUCUGCUGAGAGCACAAGGUCAUUGGGUACAGUGGGAUAGAGUUCGUUCUUCAAUGCAUCGAGUUGACACUGCAAGCAUUGUUUCCAGGAUGUCACAAUUAGGAUGCGUGGUUAGGAGGACAUACUCUGUCCCCAGCCCAAAGUCCCUGAUGCACAUUGACACAAACCACAAGUUGAUACGGUAUAACAUUGUAAUAUUUGGAGGCAUCGAUGGCUUCUCCAGGAAGAUAAUGUACCUUGGUGUGUCAAAUAACAAUCUGGCUUCCACAACACUGUCUUUUUUCCAUGAGGCAGUUCAGAAGUUUGGAUUUCCACUGAUGGUUCGGGGGGAUCAUGGGGGGGGGGGGGUGUAGAUGUGGCCUGCCUUAUGUUCUCUGACCGAGGAACGGGGAGAAGUAGCUUCAUUGCUGGUAAAAGUGUUCACAAUCAGAGAAUUGAGCGAUUGUGGCGGGAUGUGUUCACUGCAGUUACCUCCCACUUCUACCAUGUUCUGCACCAGCUGGAAGAGGAUGGGCAUCUUGAUCUGUCCAGCAGUCUUCACAUCUUCUGCUGUCACUAUGCCUUUAUCCCACGGC